GACAGAGGGGGCAAGCGUUGCUCGGAAUUACUGGGCGUAAAGGGCGCGUAGGCGGGAUGGCAAGUCGGUCGUGAAAUCCCUCGGCUCAACUGAGGAGCGUCGAUCGAAACUGCCGUUCUUGAGGGUUGCAGAGGAGACUGGAAUUCCCGGUGUAGCGGUGAAAUGUGUAGAGAUCGGGAGGAACACCUGCGGCGAAGGCGGGUUGCUGGGCUGACACUGACGCUGAUGCGCGAAAGCCAGGGGAGCGAACGGG
rnacentral:rRNA from 1 species